rnacentral:rRNA from 1 species
GACGAACGCUGGCGGCGUGCCUAAUACAUGCAAGUAGAACGCUGAAGGAGGAGCUUGCUUCUCUGGAUGAGUUGCGAACGGGUGAGUAACGCGUAGGUAACCUGCCUGGUAGCGGGGGAUAACUAUUGGAAACGAUAGCUAAUACCGCAUAACAGUAGAUAUCGCAUGGUAUCUACUUGAAAGGUGCAAUUGCAUCACUACCAGAUGGACCUGCGUUGUAUUAGCUAGUUGGUGAGGUAACGGCUCACCAAGGCGACGAUACAUAGCCGACCUGAGAGGGUGAUCGGCCACACUGGGACUGAGACACGGCCCAGACUCCUACGGGAGGCAGCAGUAGGGAAUCUUCGGCAAUGGACGGAAGUCUGACCGAGCAACGCCGCGUGAGUGAAGAAGGUUUUCGGAUCGUAAAGCUCUGUUGUAAGAGAAGAACGAGUGUGAGAGUGGAAAGUUCACACUGUGACGGUAUCUUACCAGAAAGGGACGGCUAACUACGUG